GACGAACGCUGGCGGCGUGCUUAACACAUGCAAGUCGAACGAUGAAGUUCCUUCGGGAAUGGAUUAGUGGCGAACGGGUGAGGAACACGUGAGAAACCUGCCUUUCACUUUGGGAUAACUCCGGGAAACCGGGGCUAAAACCGAAUACUCCGUCUCGGCGGCAUCGCUGAGCCGGGAAAAAAUUUUGAUGAAAGAUGGUCUCGCGGCCUAUCAGCUAGUUGGUGAGGUAAUGGCUCACCAAGGCAACGACGGGUAGCCGGCCUGAGAGGGCGACCGGCCACACUGGGACUGAGACACGGCCCAGACUCCUACGGGGGGCAGCAGUGGGGAAUAUUGGGCAAUGGGCGCAAGCCUGACCCAGCGACGCCGCGUGAGGGAUGAAGGCCUUCGGGUUGUAAACCUCUUUCAGUAGGGAAGAAGCGAAAGUGACGGUACCUAAAGAAGAAGCACCGGCUAACUAUGUGCCAGCAGCCGCCGUAA
rnacentral:rRNA from 1 species